GAUCAUGGCUCAGGAUGAACGCUAGCUACAGGCUUAACACAUGCAAGUCGAGGGGCAGCAUGAAGGUAGCAAUACCUUUGAUGGCGACCGGCGCACGGGUGCGUAACACGUAUCCAAUCCUACCCAUGGCUCGGGAAUAGCCUUUCGAAAGAAAGAUUAAUGCCCGAUGGCCUUGCGAAGAGACAUCUCUUUGUAAAGUAAAGAUUUAUCGGCGAUGGAUGAGGAUGCGUCCGAUUAGCUUGUUGGCGGGGUAACGGCCCACCAAGGCGACGAUCGGUAGGGGUUCUGAGAGGAACGGUCCCCCACACUGGAACUGAGACACGGUCCAGACUCCGUACGGGAGGCAGCAGUGAGGAAUAUUGGUCAAGUGGGCGAAGGCCUGAACCAACGCCAAGUAGCGUGGAGGGAGGACCGGCCCGUACGGGUUAGUAAACCUUCUUUUGGUUCGGAAAUAAGUCGGGACGCGUCCCCGUUUGUAUGUACCUUACGAAUAAGCAUCGGCCAAUUCCGUGCCAGCCGCUGC
rnacentral:rRNA from 1 species